CUUCGUUCUCCCUUCUCCUAUCUCCGUUCCUCAGCUAAUGACGACGGCCAGAUAUUUCCGUUCGAAAGCCGACGAAUCGGACCUCACCGUUUCACCAAUCGUCUCCCUUUCAUCUUAGGAACAAGAAAACCAGUCGCAUGCCUCGAUUCGUUAGGGUUUCGACGAGGAUUUUCGAAAACUCCUCAGAGUUUUCCGACAUUUUUGUGACGAUUCCGGCGAAGAUCGGCGUCGAGGUUGGUCUCAAGCUAUUCCUCAGAACCUCAGGUUAGAGCGGUCAAGGUUCAAAAGAUAUUGGUAGAACUCAGACCGGUGAAAACGAAGAAGAAAGAAGAGUGAAAUACUUAGUGGCAAUAGAGAACAACGUCAAAAGUAACCAAGAUACCUUUUCUAUGUAAAAUAUUCUACAAACAUCUUUUUUUUCCCAUAUUGAACAUAUGUAAUAGAUUUUGAUAAAUUUACUAUAUUUCACACAUUUAAUCUGUUUUAAAACCUGCGGCAUUGUGCU
rnacentral:sRNA from 1 species